AAUCUUCCACAAUGGACGAAAGUCUGAUGGAGCAAUGCCGCGUGAGUGAAGAAGGGUNNNGGCUCNUCAAACUCUGUUGUUAANGACNAACACUCUUGAGAGUAACUGUUCAGGAGUUGACGGUAUUUAACCAGAAAGCCACGGCUAACUACGUGCCAGCAGCCGCGGUAAUACGUAGGUGGCAAGCGUUGUCCGGAUUUAUUGGGCGUAAAGCGAGCGCAGGCGGUUUUUUAAGUCUGAUGUGAAAGCCUUCGGCUUAACCGGAGAAGUGCAUCGGAAACUGGGAGACUUGAGUGCAGAAGAGGACAGUGGAACUCCAUGUGUAGCGGUGGAAUGCGUAGAUAUAUGGAAGAACACCAGUGGCGAAGGCGGCUGUCUAGUCUGUAACUGACGCUGAGGCUCGAAAGCAUGGGUAGCAAACA
rnacentral:rRNA from 1 species